rnacentral:rRNA from 1 species
UACGUAGGGUGCAGGCGUUAAUCGGAAUUACUGGGCGUAAAGCGUGCGCAGGCGGUUCGUCGUGUCUGAUGUGAAAGCCCCGGGCUCAACCUGGGAAUGGCAUUGGAAACUGGCGGACUAGAGUGUGGCAGAGGGGGGUGGAAUUCCGCGUGUAGCAGUGAAAUGCGUAGAGAUGCGGAGGAACACCGAUGGCGAAGGCAGCCCCCUGGGCUAACACUGACGCUCAGGCACGAAAGCGUGGGGAGCAAACAGG